AUUUAAAUAGCUUAAAAUUGAGAGUUUAAUAUUGAAGAUAUUAAGGUGAUUUUUAUAUAAUCUUUAAAUA